rnacentral:lncRNA from 1 species
AUCCUUGGCCUGUUUGGGUGUUGUCUGAGCGAUCAACCACCCCCAUCCGAACUUAACUUCAACACUGUGUCAAACCACAAAGUCAUGCGUUGCUCAACUAGUUACUAAGUUAACGUACAAUGUACAUAAUGUUAUCAUCCGGAGGCACUUUACAUACUACUUGUGCUUCGUACGUCUCCUUGCUUAGCACACCCUGACUCAGUGACUUGAGUCUUCCCGGCGCUAACGAAGACAUGCACGCUCUGGGCCAAUACGGACCUCUGCGCUGUUCGAAGGUGGUGUCGGGUCUGCCCACGAAUGGCAAACCGUGCCUGACGAUCAUCCAGUUUCCACAAAGUCUAGCUCUAACUUGUCUUUCACCCAAAACUAGGGUUGGCCCAAACUUCUCUCUGUAGGGUUCAAAGCAGUUGAGGACUAAGGUGCUGAUCCAAGGACUUGCCACAUUACCUACUACGCGUAAUCCUCGGCUGUCAGUUUCUCACGUGCAAAAGCCAGAUUGAAAAUAGAUCCGACGCUUUCCGUUACAAUUUACCCGCUAUCUUUCAGCCUUGCCUUUGGGGAUUGAUUCUAUGAUACAGACGCAUUGUGUUACUCUUGACCACCAAUCAGCGACAGGAUCUAGAACACCGUUGUUCAUGGGUGUCGGGUUGUAACAUGCUGCUCUGUACGUUAGUUGCUCGGAGUUGGACGGCGAACCCCAAUAUGAAACGGACCCAACCCCAAUAUGGACUAGGAUAGCUCUAGUGAGUGACUAAGACAAGCCUGACAAGGAAUAACAUAACUUCUAACGGAUUAGUCAAUCUUGGUAUUAACGUUAGUUAACCAGUUAACUAACUACUAUAUAGUAAGGGUAAGUCAAUUCUGUGCAAUGGCCAACCGUGGGAAAUGGAUAUGUAGCACAAGGACUUCCAGUUCUAUUCGUAUAGGCAGCUACAGCAGUUAGUUAGGUAGGACAGUCCAACCUGUGGCAACAGACCGGCUGAGUUUCUCAAGGAUUUUCCCUUUGAAGGAUUCUGUUCUCACCCGCAAAGCCGACAUAAAGUUACAAUUCCAUAUUGACAUACUCCGUACAUGGCAACACAUAGUUACCCACCGAUGUGGCGUCGUUCCAUUACUAUUGGUGCGGAGAACGGAACACGGCCAUAUGGGGAAGAAGGAUCACACCCUCUAUUUGAAGAAAACCGCUAUAUAGGAAGAAAGAAGACAACUGAUACGUACCGUACAUGAUUCUAUUAUGCUGGGUUACCCGAUUGUGGGAAGAAUCCUAGAAGGAUUCAGUUGGCUUGUUGGGCGUGUGUCAAGUGCGCAUACUAGGGGUUGUCUAGUUCGGAUUGUCGGAGUACGUAACUACGUACGUAGUUAACCUAUCUUUCUGAAAAGUUUGCACAUUUCAAAGUUCGCGCUUACGAAGAUACCGAAUCGAGUCAAUUGAUACGUAUACGAUCGGACUAGAAUGUUUUGGGCCUAACCCUCCGUGCUCCGUCUCAGUACGGAACGGGAGGAAAUCGGAACACUACUUUGGCAACAUCGGCUUUUCUUCUCACGAGCCCUUCUCCCUCCGGAGUAGAGCUAAGUACGGAGUUACGUCGGAGUAGUCUUCGACUAGUCUGGCAAAUAGUUAGUACGUAUACUACGUAUAAUGCGUCUGACCCUAUUUUGCACGGGUUCCGCAUACCAACACGCAGAUACACAGUAUAGUUAGCGCGUUGCUUGACUUUCUUCUCAGGUCUGGGAAGAACCCUGCUCGACGCAUGCAGGUACGUAGCUAAGUCUUCGCUUGCAAGUUGCGAGACUUGCUUGACAGUUGACUGAGCUGACGAUGAUUCGCCUCGUGCAAGGGGAUAUUACCGCAUUGGGCUUAGCGUCAGGCACACCCGCGCUGCUGCUGCACGUCAAAAGGGGCGGGCGCGGCUUGGCGCGUUGCUAUUGGCUGAGAACGGGGUAUAGUGGGGCGCGAAUGAGUUGGUUCCAACGUUCGUGUUUCAGAAACCGAACUCUCUCCCCGCUGCGACAAACAUACUACUCUACAACGUUUGAACGUGCGUACUCUGUAAGGACGCUUUCGAACAAGCGCAUCACUGGACAUCAGACUAUUGAACCUUAUCACGUCUUGUGCCGAGGCAUCAAUCAAAUCCAUCAACCAUCAAUUGAUAUGAUUAUGAUAUGAACAUCAACAUUGCGUUCCCUGUCGUACCCCAGCCCCAGAAUCAAUUUAUCCCCCUCGCCUCAUCCGUACAUCAUAUCAUACCUUCUAUAGUAGUUCGCCAGCCUAAAUAUUUAGUGGACGGGCCAUUUCCACGAUGAGAUCUUUACUGUCCGUUCGAGCGCGAUCGAUCUUCGAUCUGAUAUCGAUGGAUGCGACGCUGCUCAUCUCUAGGCUCUAAAUGAAUGCUACGUACGUAUACUAGUAUUAAUAAGGGUUAAACCAAAACAAUAAAAAAGGGUUAUGCACUGAUCGGUGAGGCCGAGUAUCUAUCCCAGCUGCUCCGACUACCCCCAAAAUGUGCUCGAUCGAACAUUCCAUCUCGAACAAGAGGAUAUGGUAUCCGCGUUAUGGAGAAGGGCUACGGGUGGCUUACGAAUAAUAGAGCUUAAUAUUGUGGCAUGAGUCGUCGCUCUCGGGGUGAGCAUUAUGCUUAUUUCGCGAGGCGUUUCUACAGAGUACGUAUACGUAGUAAAUAUUUUGGCGACUCUUGUUAGAACACCUGUGGGCGAUCGCACAUGCAGCCUUGUAGAUUGUUUUUGAACAUGAAAUACAGCUCUAACCUUAAGUUGUGUUACCGG